UUGAGGGAUGGGGUUUUUUCAAAUGCUUAUUAGAUUAGUAGUGGAAUUUUUGCAAUUCUUUAGGUGUUUGGCUUGAGGAUUAGACGAUGGAUUGGGUUGGUGCCUGCUUUAGUUCUUUGGCUUGAUGAUUAAUUAAAUGGAUGCUUAGUUCUAGGUAUUAUGCCUGUCAUAGUUGCAAUUCUUAGAUGCUUGAUUGAUGCAUGUUGUCGUAGUUGCAGUUCUUUGAUGCUUGAUUGAUGCCUGUCAGGCAGAGGCUAUGAGAUGGGUUGUGCAUGGCCUUGUGUUUUUGGAAAUUGUCUACCUAAGGUGAUUAGAUGGUGCAUUAGUUUGGUUGUAAAUAUAGUGAAGGAUGUGCUCAUGUAAUGGGUGUUGUCAUGUUAAUCAAAAAGAGCUUCUCAAGGGCUGGAUUUGUUUGUGUUGGAUUGGGGCUUCUGAAGGAGAGGGGAAGGGGCAGUCUAUGUUUAUUUAGUUUGGGUUAGUAGUGGAAUUUUGCCGCUGCUUCAUAGAUUUUAAUUAGUAUGAGGUUGAAUACAUUAUUUAAGGGGGAAUUUAAGGUCAGAUAGACGUCAUAUGAUUAUUAGAUCUGUAGUUCAAUGCUGCAGACAUAUGUGAUUAUUUGAUUUGAUUUGUGGUUCAAUGAUACUGGAUGGAAACAUAUUUGAUUUGGAAUGCAUUAAUUUUGAUGUGCCAAUGAAUUGAUUUAGAUGAUACAAGAUUCAUCUAUAGUAUAAUUUGUUGUUGUUUAGGUAAGUAAUGAAAUUUUAGAUGUUUGUUGGAGACGUAUGCAUUUAUAGUUGAAGUUGUACCUAAUUAACUACUGCAUUAUGUUAAUAUGUGUAGGAGCUUUGCUGCAUUAUCCCAAAAACAGUAAUUUGUGCAUAUUAAAAUUUGUAGUUGGCUUCUGUAAUUAGUAGCAAUGUCAAGAAUCCAGCUUGGAUUUUAUUAGCAUUUAUGAAGGAAAGCAUUUGUCUGUUGAUUGAUUGCUUAGAUUCUGCAUUUAUAAGGAAAGCAUUUGGUCAGUUGCAACAUAGCAAUGUGGUUCACAUUCACAAUUUUGUUUAUAAUGACAUUCUUUGAACUACAAUUCAAUUCAUUGUAAAUGAUGUGCUUGUUUGACAAUAUAGCAGGAGGAGGAGGAUCUUGUGGGCAACAAGAGGAAGUGGGACAAGACUGGAUUCUACCCAUAUGACUCUGAUGAAGAUGAGCCGUAUGAGUAUGAAUCUGGAGAUGAUGUGGACGAGGGGAACGUCGAGUCCUUUGAAGAGAAGGAGGUGCAGAAGAUCAGGGCCCAAGGAUCUGCCAUGUACUAUAACUGGAGGAAGGACAAGUACAGGUGCCCGUACUGUAGCAAGCCCAAGCCCAGGUCUGGGUUGCUGGAGCAUCUGAUGAAGCAUUGUCGGGCUACAUCCAUCAGCAGUGAUGACUACAAGAUCGGGGCUCAGCAUUCUGCCCUCCACAAGGUCCUGAGAAACCCUAACCUCUAGUCGUACAUCAUGCUGAUCAUCAGAAGCUGGAAGCCGUACUCAUCAUCACUAUAUUUGAUGAUGUUUUACUUUUGGAAAGCUGCAUCUGGGUCUGAACUGGUUGGAAACUACCUCUAUUAACGUAAUGUAUUGUGUGUGUGAACUGGAUCUGUGGUGAACUGCCUGGUACAUGUGGUGGUAACUUAGAAUGCUAUCUAUAUGUGUGGCCUUAACUUUAUUGGUGGUGAAUGCUUCCUUCAUGUUUA